rnacentral:lncRNA from 1 species
UUAUAAAAAAAAACUAAAUAUUACAUUACAUCAAAUAAAUUUAAAAAGAUAAUCAACACACAAUGAUAUCAACAUAAAAUUAAAAUAUUGCAUUACAUAAAAUAUUACAAAUUGAUCAUGAUCAACAUAAUUUAUGAAGGUCUAUUUUUUUAAUCCACUGACCAUGAAGUUUCUUGUCCUGCACGUCAAUAUUUUAUGAAGUUAAAAAGAAAACAAAGUAAAACAUAAAACAAAAUCAACACUAAACAACAUUAAAGGGCUUACCUACCUUCAAGUAUGACCAUAGAUCUGGAAAAAAAAAAUAGACUGUAGAUUUUCUAUUUCCAGUCAAUUACCUUUCAAUUUAAACCUAUUCCCAGGUUUCUCUUUUCCCAGUUUUCUCUUUGUUUUUUUAGCUAACAAUGGAACCAAAA